rnacentral:rRNA from 1 species
CUACGGGACGCUCCAGUGGGGAAUAUUGCACAAUGGAGGAAACUCUGAUGCAGCGACGCUGCGUGAGUGAAGAAGUAUUUCGGUAUGUAAAGCUCUAUCAGCAGGGAAGAUAGUGACGGUACCUGACUAAGAAGCACCGGCUAAAUACGUGCCAGCAGCCGCGGUAAUACGUAUGGUGCAAGCGUUAUCCGGAUUUACUGGGUGUAAAGGGAGUGUAGGUGGCAUGGCAAGUCAGAAGUGAAAGCCCAGGGCUCAACCCUGGGACUGCUUUUGAAACUGCCGAGCUAGAGUGCAGGAGAGGUAAGUGGAAUUCCUAGUGUAGCGGUGAAAUGCGUAGAUAUUAGGAGGAACACCAGCGGCGAAGUCGGCUUACUGGACUGUAACUGACACUGAGGCUCGAAAGCGUGGGGAGCAAACAGGAUUAGAUACCCGAGUAGUC